rnacentral:rRNA from 1 species
GACGAACUGUGCAAACGUUAUUCGGAAUCACUGGGCUUAAAGGGUGCGUAGGUGGGUCUGUAAGUCAGUGGUGAAAUCUCCGGGCUUAACCCGGAAACUGCCAUUGAUACUAUAGGUCUUGAAUAUCCUGGAGGUGAGCGGAAUAUGUCAUGUAGCGGUGAAAUGCUUAGAUAUGACAUAGAACACCAAUUGCGAAGGCAGCUCACUACGGGAUUAUUGACACUGAGGCACGAAAGCGUGGGGAUCAAACAGG